AUUGAACGCUGGCGGCAUGCUUUACACAUGCAAGUCGAACGGUAGAGGGGGCAACCCCUUGAGAGUGGCGAACGGGUGAGUAAUGCAUCGGAACGUGCCCAGUCGGGGGGGAUAACGCAGCGAAAGCUGUGCUAAUACCGCAUACGAUCUCUGGAUGAAAGAGGGGGACCGCAAGGACUCGCGCGAUUGGAGCGGCCGAUGUCAGAUUAGGUAGUAGGUGGGGUAAAGGCUCACCAAGCCAACGAUCUGUAGCUGGUCUGAGAGGACGACCAGCCACACUGGGACUGAGACACGGCCCAGACUCCUACGGGAGGCAGCAGUGGGGAAUUUUGGACAAUGGGCGCAAGCCUGAUCCAGCAAUGCCGCUUGCAGGAAGAAUGCCUUCGUGUUGUAAACUGCUUUUGUACGGAACGAAAAGGUCUGGGUUAAUACCCUGGGCACAUGACGGUACCGUAAGAAUAAGCACCGGCUAACUACGUGCCAGCCGCCGCCGUAA
rnacentral:rRNA from 1 species